rnacentral:rRNA from 1 species
AGUGAACGCUGGCGGUAGGCCUAACACAUGCAAGUCGAACGGCAGCACAGUAAGAGCUUGCUCUUACGGGUGGCGAGUGGCGGACGGGUGAGGAAUACAUCGGAAUCUACUUUUUCGUGGGGGAUAACGUAGGGAAACUUACGCUAAUACCGCAUACGACCUACCGGUGAAAGCAAGGGAUCUUCGGACCUUGCGCGAUUGAAUUAGCCGAUGUCGGAUUAGCUAGUUGGCGGGGUAAAGGCCCACCAAGGCGACGAUCCGUAGCUGGUCUGAGAGGAUGAUCAGCCACACUGGAACUGAGACACGGUCCAGACUCCUACGGGAGGCAGCAGUGGGGAAUAUUGGACAAUGGGCGCAAGCCUGAUCCAGCCAUACCGCGUGGGUGAAGAAGGCCUUCGGGUUGUAAAGCCCUUUUGUUGGGAAAGAAAAGCAGCAGGUUAAUACCCCGCUGUUCUGACGGUACCCAAAGAAUAAGCACCGGCUAACUUCGUG